ensembl:lncRNA
CAAUUACAUAGAAAAAAACGAAACGUCCCUUGAGUGCCACGGAUGUUGAAUACAAUUAUAUUUGAACUUACUCAGCCAAUUGUGCGUGGGGUUGGUCAUUCAGUUGAUCAAAAUUAGUGAACCAACUUCAAAACGCAGGUCUCUUGUGGGUGGCAAUCAAUAUUCGUUUGCUCGAGACCAAAGGAAUAUGCGCGAGACGGAAGUACAUGCACGAGAUGAAUGAAUACUAACCGAAGUCUUGCAGGUGUUUACAUGGAUUUGCGAAUGUGCCAGGUGAUAGAAAUUGCAACGGCAAUUAAACGGCAAAUAAAAGUUGGGUAAAUAAUACUUUCCUGUGGAUGUUCUGAAGGACCAACCUCACAACAGGUAGAGUAAGUUCAAAAGUAAUUUUAUUGAAGAUUCUGGCUUGUAAGGAAACUUUGUUUCAGACUAUACCAAUAAUUCAUAUCAGUCUGAUUUAUUAGGCAAGCCUUAGUGUUGAGUUCUGUCAAUGUUAUCCUAUUUCUGGAUACCAGGGGAGGAUGAAUCACAAAAGCAUUUGGUUGAUUAUUCAUAGAAAACUCAUAUCUUCCCAUCCUGCUCUCAUUUCUUCCUUCUGAUGCUUUGAGGAGGUGUCAAGGAGAACAGACACAAGGAUUCAAAGAAUAUCUUCCAUUUUGAUGAGCCAUUUUUUGGUUGUUGUUGCCAUUGACGCCCAGAGGUCAAUCCCGACAAAGUCAGAGAUCACUGAGCAAUAAAAAAGGCACCACUUCAUACGUUCCCUCUGGCAUACAACAUAAUGUAUGCCGUGAGACACUCUGAAGGCGCCUCCUCUCAAGACCCGGAGGUGUGCUGUGUCACAUGGUCCCUUGCUGAGCGCCCCCCAACCUCCGUCUCUACCGCACUACUGUGUUAGCUUACUGUAGAGCAUAGAGCUGUACAUGUUAUUUGAAUAAAAGUUAGGUUUGACUAAAGUUUGUCUAUCGUGUGUUAUAUUUUUGAAUGCGUUACCCUGGAUUAUACAGUUUGAUGACGAACACC